rnacentral:rRNA from 1 species
ACACUGAUGCGUUGUUGGGUAGGGGAGCGUUCUGUAAGCCUGUGAAGGUGGCCUGUGAGGGUUGCUGGAGGUAUCAGAAGUGCGAAUGCUGACAUAAGUAACGAUAAAGCGGGUGAAAAGCCCGCUCGCCGGAAGACCAAGGGUUCCUGUCCAACGUUAAUCGGGGCAGGGUGAGUCGACCCCUAAGGCGAGGCCGAAAGGCGUAGUCGAUGGGAAACGGGUUAAUAUUCCCGUACUUGGUGUUACUGCGAAGGGGGGACGGAGAAGGCUAUGUUGGCCGGGCGACGGUUGUCCCGGUUUAAGCGUGUAGGUGUGUGUUCCAGGUAAAUCCGGUUCACUUUAACACUGAGGCGUGAUGACGAGGCACUACGGUGCUGAAGCAACAAAUGCCCUGCUUCCAGGAAAAGCCUCUAAGCAUCAGGUAACAUCAAAUCGUACCCCAAACCGACACAGGUGGUCAGGUAGAGAAUACCAAGGCGCUUGAGAGAACUCGGGUGAAGGAACUAGGCAAAAUGGUGCCGUAACUUCGGGAGAAGGCACGCUGACACGUAGGUGAAGUGAUUUACUCACGGAGCUGAAGUCAGUCGAAGAUACCAGCUGGCUGCAACUGUUUAUUAAAAACACAGCACUGUGCAAACACGAAAGUGGACGUAUACGGUGUGACGCCUGCCCGGUGCCGGAAGGUUAAUUGAUGGGGUCAGCGCAAGCGAAGCUCCUGAUCGAAGCCCCGGUAAACGGCGGCCGUAACUAUAACGGUCCUAAGGUAGCGAAAUUCCUUGUCGGGUAAGUUCCGACCUGCACGAAUGGCGUAAUGAUGGCCAGGCUGUCUCCACCCGAGACUCAGUGAAAUUGAACUCGCUGUGAAGAUGCAGUGUACCCGCGGCAAGACGGAAAGACCCCGUGAACCUUUACUAUAGCUUGACACUGAACAUUGAGCCUUGAUGUGUAGGAUAGGUGGGAGGCUUUGAAGUGUGGACGCCAGUCUGCAUGGAGCCGACCUUGAAAUACCACCCUUUAAUGUUUGAUGUUCUAACGUGGACCCGUAAUCCGGGUUGCGGACAGUGUCUGGUGGGUAGUUUGACUGGGGCGGUCUCCUCCUAAAGAGUAACGGAGGAGCACGAAGGUUGGCUAAUCCUGGUCGGACAUCAGGAGGUUAGUGCAAUGGCAUAAGCCAGCUUGACUGCGAGCGUGACGGCGCGAGCAGGUGCGAAAGCAGGUCAUAGUGAUCCGGUGGUUCUGAAUGGAAGGGCCAUCGCUCAACGGAUAAAAGGUACUCCGGGGAUAACAGGCUGAUACCGCCCAAGAGUUCAUAUCGACGGCGGUGUUUGGCACCUCGAUGUCGGCUCAUCACAUCCUGGGGCUGAAGUAGGUCCCAAGGGUAUGGCUGUUCGCCAUUUAAAGUGGUACGCGAGCUGGGUUUAGAACGUCGUGAGACAGUUCGGUCCCUAUCUGCCGUGGGCGCUGGAGAACUGAGGGGGGCUGCUCCUAGUACGAGAGGACCGGAGUGGACGCAUCACUGGUGUUCGGGUUGUCAUGCCAAUGGCACUGCCCGGUAGCUAAAUGCGGAAGAGAUAAGUGCUGAAAGCAUCUAAGCACGAAACUUGCCCCGAGAUGAGUUCUCCCUGAGACUUUAGGUCUCCUGAAGGAACGUUGAAGACGACGACGUUGAUAGGCCGGGUGUGUAAGCGCAGCGAUGCGUUGAGCUAACCGGUACUAAUGAACCGUGAGGCUUAACCUUACAACGCCGAAG